GGCGUUUUGAAUCUUCUCGUAUAGCGUCUGGCUUCCCUCACAAUCAAUCAGCUGAUGCGUGUGACGCGAGCGGCGUGGACGCGUUUUUUCUUAGCGCCCACGCGGUCGCCACUUGGUUUCAUAAAUACGUGCUAACAUUUCCAGUAUUUGUCUUUAUUAUAACGACUUUUUUGACAUAUUGCGGUCUUAGAACGAGAUGCUAACCGGACUGAAUCAUGAAUCAUGGCACCCAUCAGAGGUGUCCACGCGAGAACAUGCCCGGCCUCGUCUGAUUCUCAGGGCCGGGGAAAGACGGGACCAGCACUAUGGACAGCAUAUUCCCUGACCAGCUUUUCCCACAUUUUUACAUGGACGGACCGCCUGAAGUAAAGCCGAAGCGUGGUCGCUGUCAAUGGUGGAUUGAUUGCAGAAGUUCCGUGAGGAGGAUUCCAACCUGUACUUCAGUGCUAAGUCGCCAUGGCGAUGGUGUGAGUUCUCCUGUCACCCGAGAGUGAUGGUGUAUGCUGACAGAACGGGGGCGGAGCUUACAGACAUACGGGUGGGUCUCAAUUUAUUAUUCAUCUUUGUCACUUCCUCGGUGCAGAGUGCUGACGUAGUUCUGGAUCAGAAGGACAGCAGCCUGUAUGUCGGGAGAGUGAGUGAUACUCGCCAAAUACCUGAGAAGCCACGCCCAUCACCACCUCAUUAAUAAACUCCCAGGCACAAUGGCACCUCGCUGUAUAACUAUCAGGUUUCCAGCCAGAAGAGGUCUGUGACAUCAUCUUGGAAGAUGACAAGGAAGCCAUUCAGAUCAUUGGCUGCGUGGAGGCCACAUCUCCAUUGGCGGUUGUGCUCCUU
ensembl:lncRNA